GUAAUGCUUCGGAAUCUACCCUCUAGUGGGGAAUAACCAGCCGAAAGGUUGGCUAAUACCGCAUACGUCCUACGGGAGAAAGCAGGGGAUCGUAAGACCUUGGCGCUGAUGGAUGAGCCGAAGUCGGAUUAGCUAGUUGGUGAGGUAACGGCUCACCAAGGCGACGAUCCGUAGCUGGUCUGAGAGGACGACCAGCCACACUGGGACUGAGACACGGCCCAGACUCCUACGGGAGGCAGCAGUGGGGAAUAUUGGACAAUGGGGGCAACCCUGAUCCAGCGACGCCGCGUGUGUGAAGAAGGCCUGCGGGUUGUAAAGCACUUUUAGUGGGGAUGAAAUGUGCAGGGUUAAUACCUCUGCAUUUUGACCUAACCCACAGAAAAAGCACCGGCUAACUCUGUGCCAGCAGCCGCGGUAAUACAGAGGGUGCAAGCGUUAAUCGGAAUUACUGGGCGUAAAGCGUGCGCAGACGGUUAUAUAAGUCGGGUGUGAAAGCCCCGGGCUCAACCUGGGAAUUGCAUUCGAGACUGUGUAGCUAGGGUACGGAAGAG
rnacentral:rRNA from 1 species